GAAAUCACAGGAGUCAUUUUUAUGGUGAUAAUUGUGAUAACGUAAGGGAAAAAAGUGAUAUUACCUUACUAUUAGUGUUGUCCAAAACUGGUGCCAAGAGACUCGGUAAGGCCAGAGACGCAAACGUUAGUCGUCCUAAUCAGGCGUAAAGGGUAUGUAGGCGGCUUUAAACCUUUUAUUUUUCUUUUAUAAUUUUUAUUUUAAAAAUAUGAGUUAUUAUACCUAAAGGUUUCUAACUUUUUUUUUAUAUUAUUAAUUAAAGGUAGAAUAUUAUUAAUUAAAGCUAGAAUCAAAUAGAAGAUAAUCAAAAUAAUACUUAGGGUAGGGGCGAUAUCCGUAGAUUCUAAGGGGAAUACUAAAGGCGAAAGCUUUUUAUCUAUUAAUGAUUGACGCUGAGAUACGAAGGUGAGAAUAGGAAAUAGGAUUAGAUACCCAGAUACCUCUCACUGUCAACGAUGAAUGGUGGUUGUUAGUUUUAAUAAAAACUAGUAACGAUGUUAACACGAUAACCAUUCCGCCUUGCGAGUACGGUUGCAAAACUGAAACCAAAAAAAUUAGUCGGUCU
rnacentral:rRNA from 1 species